UCCCUGGAGGACUAGUGGUUAGGCCACAGCGGCUCUCACCACUGUGGCCCGGGCUCGAUUCCUGGCCAAGGAA